rnacentral:rRNA from 1 species
UACGAAGGGGGCUAGCGUUGCUCGGAAUCACUGGGCGUAAAGCGCCCGUAGGCGGCUUGCUAAGUCAGGGGUGAAAUCCUGGAGCUCAACUCCAGAACUGCCUUUGAUACUGGCAAUCUCGAGUCCGGGAGAGGUGAGUGGAACUGCGAGUGUAGAGGUGAAAUUCGUAGAUAUUCGCAAGAACACCAGUGGCGAAGGCGGCUCACUGGCCCGGUACUGACGCUGAGGUGCGAAAGCGUGGGGAGCAAACAGG